ACACUAGCGCCGCCAAGCGGUUGAAUUUCAAACCAAAUUUGCAUCCAUUACUAUUCUAACAAGAUUGAAUAUUGAAUAAGUGGCUAUUCUGUCGAAUUAAUGUCAAUUUUGUCUUAAGCCAUCAGUUUUUCGAUUUGGAAGUUAUUAACUCAUGUUUGGGUUAAGCCAGACGAGCGUGUACAUGUUUGUUUACAUUAUUCGUAGUCGGAAGCAAAGUGCCACCUCGAUAAAAAAACAAAUUUCGCUCGAGAUUUCGUUGUUUUUCGGUGAAAACAGUCCGGGAUAAUAUGUUGUGUUGUGACCAGUGAUGUGAUGGAAUGUGGAUGCGAUGUUGGACCCGAAGAAGGGGCAGGAGAUUCGUCACGAAGAGGCACGGUCCGUGUCUGCAGCGCGUGGGGUGAUUUGGAGAGUGUCGGACGGAACUUUUCCUGUGUGUUGGCAGAAUUCGGUUCGAGGGCUUGUGUACUGGAAGCCUGAUUGCGGCAAUUGAUCCGGUCCUGUCCCUCCUUGUAGGGAGAGGCUGGACCUAGUCGGUAAUCGACAACGCCCAAGCUCCCCCGGUCGGCGCGGCGUCAGACGACGAAAAAUCCCGCUGGUCGCCUUCGGGUGUAGCCACGCCGGUACAACUGGGGGGGCCUUCAUCGGCGAAAGCCGGUUUGGGCAUUGGGCGUUGGCAGCUGGCAGGGCCGGAAGGUAGGUUUAUUGUUUAAUCCCAUUAGUGCUUGUAUCUUUUUAGGUGAAUUCAGCUACAGCUUAGGUCCACUUGCCUGCCUUUCAAAAGCAAAUUGUAACGUGGUAACUACUGGACUUGGACUGGAUGUUUGGCCAGGUCAUAUUUUUGUAAAACUGAACUAAACCACACACGGGAGCUCAUAAUUCAUCAACCCUAGGGUAACCGAUGGACAAUCUAACCAUUUCGAUUACAUACAUCAUGCCGGGAAGGUCUUGCAUAAGAAAACAACACUCCGCACAUUGAAUGACCAUCGUAGAAACCCACCUAAAAUAAAUUUUAAAAUCGGAAUCCUGAUUUACAAGACUACAGUGUCGACCCACCCAUCAAAC